rnacentral:rRNA from 1 species
AUUGAACGCUGGCGGCAGGCCUAACACAUGCAAGUCGAACGGUAACAGGAAGCAGCUUGCUGCUUUGCUGACGAGUGGCGGACGGGUGAGUAAUGUCUGGGAAACUGCCCGAUGGAGGUGGAUAACUACUGGAAACGGUAGCUAAUACCGCAUAACGUCGCAAGACCAAAGAGGGGGACCUUAGGGCCUCUUGCCAUCGGAUGUGCCCAGAUGGGAUUAGCUAGUAGGUGGGGUAACGGCUCACCUAGGCGACGAUCCCUAGCUGGUCUGAGAGGAUGACCAGCCACACUGGAACUGAGACACGGUCCAGACUCCUACGGGAGGCAGCAGUGGGGAAUAUUGCACAAUGGGCGCAAGCCUGAUGCAGCCAUGCCGCGUGUAUGAAGAAGGCCUUCGGGUUGUAAAGUACUUUCAGCGGGGAGGAAGGGAGUAAAGUUAAUACCUUUGCUCAUUGACGUUACCCGCAGAAGAAGCACCGGCUAACUCCGUG